GUUGAAACACUGGUUCUCUUACGAUCACCGAAGUUAAAUAACGUCGAACCUGGUCAGUACCUAGAUGGGUAACCGCUCGGGAAUUCCAGGUGUUGUAAG